rnacentral:rRNA from 1 species
GUCCACGCCGUAAACGAUUAGUGCUAGGUGCUGUGGGUAUUGACCCCCGCGGUGCCGCAGCCAACGCGUUAAGCACUCCGCCUGGGGAGUACGGCCGCAAGGCUAAAACUCAAAGGAAUUGACGGGGCCCCGCACAAGCGGUGGAGCAUGUGGUUCAAUUCGACGCAACGCGCAGAACCUUACCUGGGUUAAAUCCACUAGAAGCCGGCAGAGAUGCUGGGGUCCCUUCGGGAACUAGUGAGACGGUGCUGCAUGGCUGUCGU